GAUGAACGCUGGCGGCGUGCCUAAUACAUGCAAGUCGAGCGAACGGACGAGAAGCUUGCUUUUCUGAUGUUAGCGGCGGACGGGUGAGUAACACGUGGAUAACCUACCUAUAAGACUGGGAUAACUUCGGGAAACCGGAGCUAAUACCGGAUAAUAUUUUGAACCGCAUGGUUCAAAAGUGAAAGACGGUCUUGCUGUCACUUAUAGAUGGAUCCGCGCUGCAUUAGCUAGUUGGUAAGGUAACGGCUUACCAAGGCAACGAUGCAUAGCCGACCUGAGAGGGUGAUCGGCCACACUGGAACUGAGACACGGUCCAGACUCCUACGGGAGGCAGCAGUAGGGAAUCUUCCGCAGUGGGCGAAAGCCUGACGGAGCAACGCCGCGUGAGUGAUGAAGGUCUUCGGAUCGUAAAACUCUGUUAUUAGGGAAGAACAUAUGUGUAAGUAACUGUGCACAUCUUGACGGUACCUAAUCAGAAAACCACGGCUAACUACGUG
rnacentral:rRNA from 1 species